UACGGGGGGGGCAAGCGUUGUUCGGAAUUACUGGGCGUAAAGGGCGCGUAGGCGGCCUUCUAAGUCAGACGUGAAAUCCCUCGGCUCAACCGAGGAACUGCGUCUGAUACUGGAAGGCUUGAAUCCGGGAGAGGGAUGUGGAAUUCCAGGUGUAGCGGUGAAAUGCGUAGAUAUCUGGAGGAACACCGGUGGCGAAGGCGGCAUCCUGGACCGGUAUUGACGUUGAGGCGCGAAAGCUAGGGGAGCAAACGGG
rnacentral:rRNA from 1 species